GACGGAAGCACCAAGUCGCUAGGAGGAGGUGUUUGUUGUAUGUUGACUGUGGUCUGUUGCGGCCUCUUGGAGUGGGCCACUUGCAACAAGUAUGUCCGGCCGGCGUUGCAGGUUAUUUGUUCUCGGUUUCAGCAUACCUCGCCGCCGUCAUUUGGUGAAGAUCGGUUGUAUCGUCGGUGGCAGUUUUAUGCAAUUGUUUGAUGAUAUUGGUUAUAUUGCAGAUACAAUUUGCCGUUCGUCAGGAAGAGGAGUUGCGAAGAGUUGUCCCACGCAGCUGUUAUUGCAUUUUUAUAGAGCUGGUGGCAUUAUGGUGGUGGAGUUCGUCUCGUGGCAGAGAAGUCAUCAGUGAGGAUUGUAGCUCGGUCUAUCACCGAGAGAAGCCAGGUGCGCCGCGUCUUGUGGCCAUAGCGUCAGGAUUGGCAGCUUGGGGCCGCCGGUUCGAGAUUUUUUAGAGUCAUCAAGUUGGCAAUUAGAUAAGUAUUAUAUUUUAAAUAUAUAUUUCCCAGCUUGUGUUCCCUUGUUUCAAUAGUUGUAGUCUUGGAAGCUGGAUCUGCGUGCUUGUCAUCAGCAGGAUGGAGCGCCUAUUAGCAUCUGCUACUUUGUCUGUCCGGUUAGCGGAGAAUUCGUUGAAGAUACGAUACUGAGGUGAAAUAUUCGUUUUAAGGGCAAAUUUUGCAGCUAAUUAAUGUGGCAUCAGCGCCGAGCUAAUUAUCCUUAUUAAUCAGUGGCGUCAGGAGAAGGAGACGGCAUCAUAAAAUUGUCAACUUUUUGUGUUUAAAAUUGAAAAAGUUGGCGAUUUCGUUUUAUUUUUGCGGAGCUCGCCUCCUCUUGUCGGUUGCGUUAGAUGUGGAUCAGCAGUUGGCUGUGCUCAAGGAGGUUUUAGCGUCAACUAAUGUAGGCGCUCUUCGAUCUGGGAAAUUAUGAGAGUAGCAGGAAGGAUAGAUUUUGCAGCUCCGCGCUAGGUGCCCUGAUCGAAGCGUAGGCAGCUUAUAUGGCCCGUCUAUUGCAGCGCAGCACUGCAAGUAGAUUGCAUCGGU